rfam:Hafnia alvei FB1, complete genome.
AGUUGCUCAUUCACUCUUUUAUGUCAGCGACCGCAAUAGCGAGUCAGGCUACAUAAGCCAUCGAAUGACGCCAAAGUAAGGUGCCUACCGUCCAAUUAUCGAUAACAGUCGCUUAUGCGCUUUAUCAAACUCGGGGCGACACGUUGAGUGAGGCACCACCUA